AUCUUUCUCUCACUCCCAAAUUUUUUUAAAAAAAAAAAAUUCAAAAUUUAAUCUUAACAAAACCAAAGUACAAACAUUUCGGGCACAAGUCAGAAUCGGAAUCAAAAUAAACUGGAAUCAGAAUCGGAAUAAUUAAUUAACUAAUUCUGUUUGGUUCAUAACCUGAAUCGGAAUCAGAAUAAAUCAUUUUCAUUGCCGGUGUUUGGUUCAGAUAAAUAUAAAAAAUAUAAUCAAAUUAAUAUACCAACUUUAUCUUUAUAAUAUAUUAAUUUAAAUUCAAAUUAAAAAUUAAAUAUUAAAAAUUUACAUCAAAAUUUUGAAAUAAUGUCAAAUUUUAAAUGUAUUUUUUUAAAAAAAAUUAAACUUUGAAGUUGAGUGGAUAAUUCAAAAUAUAUAACUAAAUUUCGAUUUAUUCAAAUUCAAACUUAAAAUUAUAAUUUAUAUUUUAAUUUGAAUCCAUAAAUUUAAUUUAAAUUUUAAAUAAAAUUUGAAUAAAACUUUAUAUAAAUUAAAAUUUAAUUUAAAUUCAAAUUCAUAAGCUAGAUUUGAAAUACUUGGUUAAAUUUUAAUUUUUAAUUCAAGUUUAAAUUAAAUUUUAAUAUUAUAUAUUUAAUUUUUAAAUUUAAACUCAUAUUUUAAUUAAAAAAGUUGAAAAAAUAAAUUUAGUCUGAAUAAAUAUUCAUACUGUCCGGAUUCAACUUUCAAUCUACCCUCUUAGGCCAGAUUGGAAAAAAAUGUGAUUAGAAAAUUUUCAUUUCAUUCGGGAAUCGGAAUUGGAUUGAAACUCCCACGUAUCAAACACCCACAAACAAAUUCGCCUAUUCCAAUUUCGAUUCCAUUGCGAAAAAGAAGGAAACCAAACACUUCCUUUCUAUUUUGUUCUACA
rnacentral:lncRNA from 1 species